UUUAUCUUUUCAUGUUUUUUUGGUUGAAUUAGUGUCUUUGUUUAUGUGAUAUGUGGUUCAUGUUUGUAUUGAUUUACUUCAAUUUCGAAUGUUGAAUGUCCGGAGUAUCGACAUGUAUCUUUCAGUGAUAUGUUUACAUAGUAUUUUUCGUGAAUUGAGAUGGAUAAUAUUGUUGUUUGUGUUUGAAAAAGAACAUAAAAUCCUACUCAAGUGUAUAAAUAUUAGCAAAUCCAUAAUUGAACUGGUUUGUGUAAUAUGUUUUCUUUU
rnacentral:lncRNA from 1 species